UAGGGGCAUUUUUUUGGAAAUAAUAGUGUAAACUAAACGUACGUAAAGUACGGAAGCGUUUACGCACUUUGCGCAACCUACGCAAAUGAAGCGGACCACGCGUAGUGAGGCUCUUAAUCCGUGUUUGUUUUGGUAAAGCACCCAGAAACAAGAAAUCGGACUGCAUUAAACAACCGAAUUUAUCUACAACCCUACUGAGAGCAGCUACUUACAAAAAAUGUAUUACAAUAAUAAUAUGAUAGAGUUAUAAAUACAGAGCGCUUAUAGAAACAGAAAUCACUGCAAUUAGCUUAGCAACCAACACUAGCAACUUAGCUAACAAGUACCCGUGUUGUUGAUCUUGGGUAUUAACUCACAGCUGUAAUGUAUUUCGUAUAGUUAGUGUACUGCACACAGUGUACAAGUCUUUAUCUUUCAUAAUAAUAAUAAUACUUAUUGUUUAUGAGUUAUUUGGGUUUUAUUCAGUAUUUCAGCUGUGAACUAGUUGGCUAGGCUAAGUAUUGACACCUUCACACGGCAUAUUACUAGCGUGGGUCAAUCGAUAGUAUCGAUACUUCAGUUUUACAUUUUCUCCGCUAUAUUCGGUACUUUUCUUCCGUUUUAUUAGAAAGUAGAAACCAUAUGUGUACAGAGCCGCUCAUCUUACUCCUGCUGCUCUGCUGUGUGGUGUUGUGGUACCGUCACGUGAUUAAGCGGCACAGAGACCAAGCACAUACAGCAGAGAGAGAGAGUAAAUGGAAAAUAAAAAAGAAUGUAAAGUUUAAAACAUUUGUUCUCCAGUAAAACUUUUGUUUACUUUAUUUUUGUAAGCCACAGAAGUGCAGUGAAAAUGUAGUUUUGUUAAUUAUAUUAUUGUAGUGAUGGGCAGAUGAAGCCUCAUUGAAGCUUCCUCCUGAUUGUGCUGAAAAUGAUUUGAAGUAUUGAAAGUGGACAUCAGAGCAGAGUGACACCUGGUGGCUUUAAGAAUGUAUUGCAGCCUGCAGCUACUCAACACUGAAACAUACGAACCCUCUGUGGUUUAAUAGAUCACCCAAUAUUUGUUUUCAUCUGCAAAUAAUUAUCUUUACUUAUUAAAGCAUUGCGUUAAAAUUUGUCAUGUACAAUUCUCUGAUACCCAAAUAGUGAUCAGGUGUUUGACUGUCUCUUAAAUAGUCAGUGAGAUAAGGGACAGCACCAAAGCUUUGAAUCAGUCUCGCCCAGUUCUGGUGGUUAAUUCAGUGACAUUUUGGAAGCUUCUGAGUCACUUUAAUACAAGCUCCGAUACACUGAAUCGACUCAGCGAGUGUUACAAAAGUGAAACGAAGCCUCGGUAUCGAAUGUCAUUGUAUGAAAAACCUCUUACUGAAAAUGAAUUUAAGUUCCACAAAAAAUGUGGAACUUUUUUACAGAAAAGUGGAACUUCGGUCGAUAAUAAAUGCACAUGUCUAUCAUUCAUGUAGGAGUAUUUUAGCACCGCAUUUUCCACCGUUUCCAUAAAAGUGUGAUUUAUACAUCAUAUUUUAAGAAGUAAAAGCACGUUCAGCUUGUAUAAAACCCCCUGAUUUCUUGUGCUCACCACUGUUCAGUUUGACAAUGAAGCUGUUUUUUCCUCUCGUGAAUCACUCUUUAUCCAUCAGAGCUCAAAACAACAUGGAAUCGGUUCAAGAUCCACAUGAUGGCGCAGAAACACCACAAACAUUCUGAAACGCUUCAAAACUGUCAUAAAUAAUGAGUACAAAUUAUUAUUUUCAUACAUGGAGUUGUAAUAAAUUAUUUCAUUUAAAUGUAAAUAAACAAUAUUAUAAUACACAUUAGAAUGAAUGAUGUGUCGGUGUAGUGAUUCAGUAGUUCAUUACUAGUUGCUCAUUGGUCUGUCAGUCACGUGUUUAGCGAGGUGACGUCACCGACGCGCCACCGUGUAUGUAUUGUUGUUGUUAGCGGUUUAGUGAAAGUAGAUAGUUAGAUACUUCAUUAAUCCCGAAGGAAAUCAAGGCCUCAGUAGCAAGUUACAUAAAGCAAAGUCAAAAACAGUAAAAGCUGGAGAAUCAGACGUGAAAUGAGAGGAAACCAAACCGAGACAAACUCAGCAAGGAUAUCAGGGAUCGUUGUUUGGAUAAAUGAUCAUCUGUUAACAGCAUUGAUAAGCUACGUAAGUUGGCUGUGAGCAGGUGGUUGUAGCGGUAAAUGUUUGUAUCGUUCAUGCUGCUUAUUUUGCACAAAGAGUGUUUAGCUUUUGUCUGUGUCUAUUUACAAGUACAAAUAAAGUACAUAUAUUGAAAUUUUA